rnacentral:lncRNA from 1 species
UUUAACUUAUCUAAGUGGAAUCACUAUAAAAGGUGUUGUAAAUUUUCGUGUGGACUGAUUUUAGCAAAGGAGUCAAAAGCUGCGAAUUAGAAAAAAAUCUACUGUCCAGAAAUUUAAAAGGGCAUUUUCGGCCACUUAAUUUAUGAAAAAAAUUUCGGCCUUUUGAAACAUAAAAAUUUAUGGUAUAAAGUACCUCCUG